rnacentral:rRNA from 1 species
AGCAGCCGCGGUAAUUCCAGCUCCAAUAGCGUAUAUUAAAGUUGCUGCAGUUAAAAAGCUCGUAGUUGAAUUUCGGGACUAAUAUGUCGGUCGUGCCUCGGUACGUACUGGCUUAUUGGUUUCUCCUUUCUGAAGAACCAUGAUGUCAUUUAUUUGGUGUCGUGGGGAAUCAGGACUGUUACUUUGAAAAAUUAGAGUGUUUAAAGCAGGCUCACGCUUGAAUACAUUAGCAUGGAAUAAUGAAAUAGGACGUUUGAUUCUAUUUUGUUGGUUUCUAGGAUCGACGUAAUGAUUAAUAGGGAUAGUUGGGGGCAUUAGUAUUCAAUUGUCAGAGGUGAAAUUCUUGGAUUUAUUGAAGACUAACUACUGCGAAAGCAUUUGCCAAGGAUGUUUUCAUUAAUCAAGAACGAAAGUUAGGGGAUCGAAGACGAUCAGAUACCGUCGUAGUCUUAACCAUAAACUAUGCCGACUAGGGAUCGGAUGAUGUUAAUUUUU